UACGGAGGGUGCAAGCGUUAUCCGUAUUUACUGGGCUUAAAGGGUGCGUAGGUGGACAGGAAAGUCAGUGGUGAAAUCUUCGAGCUUAACUCGGAAACUGCCUUUGAUACUAUUUGUCUUGAGUACUUUGGAGGUAAGCGGAAUAUGUCAUGUAGCGGUGAAAUGCUUAGAUAUGACAUAGAACACCAAUUGCGAAGGCAGCUUACUGGACAGUUAUUGACGCUGAGGCACGAAAGCGUGGGGAUCAAACAGG
rnacentral:rRNA from 1 species